rnacentral:rRNA from 1 species
AACGAACGCUGGCGGCAUGCCUAACACAUGCAAGUCGAACGAGACCUUCGGGUCUAGUGGCGCACGGGUGCGUAACGCGUGGGAAUCUGCCCUUGGGUUCGGAAUAACAGUUGGAAACGACUGCUAAUACCGGAUGAUGACGUAAGUCCAAAGAUUUAUCGCCCAAGGAUGAGCCCGCGUAGGAUUAGCUAGUUGGUGAGGUAAAGGCUCACCAAGGCGACGAUCCUUAGCUGGUCCGAGAGGAUGAUCAGCCACACUGGGACUGAGACACGGCCCAGACUCCUACGGGAGGCAGCAGUGGGGAAUAUUGGACAAUGGGCGAAAGCCUGAUCCAGCAAUGCCGCGUGAGUGAUGAAGGCCUUAGGGUUGUAAAGCUCUUUUAACCGGGAUGAUAAUGACAGUACCGGGAGAAUAAGCGCCGGCUAACUCCGUG